rnacentral:sRNA from 1 species
AGACGCGGGCCUGGACUGUCUAGACUGUCCUGUCUAAAGCUUUCUGAAUGCGGUUUUUGGAGGAAUCGCGCUAGUUUAUACCUUUUCCAACUCUUCUAACUCUGGACCUCUUCUUACCGAGCUUGUUAGGUGAAAUCAGGCUGACUGUCUCUUGUGCCCCUCGCCUGUCCUGUCCAGGAAUCCCAGUUAGUAUACUGCAUGAUAAACACAGGAACUCAGAUGGAUUUAGAGGUUAAAGGAGUUGCUGCCACUUCUAGGAGCCAAAUUCAGCCAUUCUUUGGAAGAAAGAAGCCUCUACAACAAAGGUGGACUUCUGAGUCAUGGACAAACCAGAAUUCUUGCCCACCAGUGGUCCCACGACUUGAUUUGGGAAGCCUUGUUGACUCUGAUGAUGAGGACAAUUUUUCAUAUAUUCCACUUAGUACAGCAAACCUGCCAAAUUCAUCUUCUACUCUUGGCUGGGUCACACCAUGUCAAACUCCAUAUACUCAGUAUCAUCUAAAUAAAUUGGUUAGUAUUUAUUUGCUUAUCAAUUUUCAGAAUUUUAG